rnacentral:miRNA from 1 species
UAAGGCACGCCUAACUCUGUCU